UACGAAGGGGGGCUAGCGUUGUUCGGAAUCACUGGGCGUAAAGCGCACGCAGGCGGAUCGUUAAGUCAGGGGUGAAAUGCCGAGGCUCAACCUCGGAACUGCCUUUGAUACUGGCGAUCUUAGAGUCCGGGAGAGGUGAGUGGAACUCCGAGUGUAGAGGUGAAAUUCGUAGAUAUUCGCAAGAACACCAGUGGCGAAGGCGGCUCACUGGCCCGGUACUGACGCUGAGGUGCGAAAGCG
rnacentral:rRNA from 1 species